rnacentral:rRNA from 1 species
GAUAGCCUUUCAAAGGAAGAUUAAUACCGCAUAAGAUUGUAGUAUCGCAUGAUAUAGCAAUUAAAGGAGCAAUUCGCUAUAAGAUGGACCCGCGUCGCAUUAGCUAGUUGGUGAGGUAAUGGCUCACCAAGGCGACGAUGCGUAGCCGACCUGAGAGGGUGAUCGGCCACAUUGGGACUGAGACACGGCCCAGACUCCUACGGGAGGCAGCAUG